CUCAGAAGGGAGAAUGGGCUGAGGAGAACCGCCCCAGUCUCUGUGACUGGUCUAAUGUCUAGAAUUAGAGUUGAGUCUGGCUGAUUUAGCUAAGCUUGGCCACAAUGUGGGUCAUUUGCUGUUCCAUGUCGCCUAGCCUCCUGGGAAGCCAGAAACAUUCUGUUCCUGUCCCUUUAGAUUUGAGAGUUGUAGUCUAUAAGGAAAAUCAUAGCACGAAGACGGAUGAGGGCUUAAAAGGGAUGAUGCCAGAAGCAAGAGUUUCACUUCUUCCCCUUUAGGGACCCAUCAUCUCCUCCCCAGGAGAGGCUCACAAAGGAAGGGACCACCAGGCCAACCUCUGCACUUCACGUAACAGAAAAUGCGAGUAACAAUGAGGUCACCACUCCACAUGCACGUAAGCACGCACCCACGCACGCAGGCAAGCGCGCACCACGCAUGCACGCACCACGCAUACAUGCACGCACGCUUUUCUGUUAGAGAAUGCACCUCCCGGUCUUGUCUGUCCAACUAUCUCUCUGUGGAGCUUCCAGCUUCCAGACAGUACCUAAGUUUCCUGGUACCCAGCGUCUUUGAUGACCACUUCCUCUGCUUUGCUCCUCUGACUCAGAAACAUUGAUUCUUUCAAGGGAUUCCUCUCACUUCAUGGAGGACAUUCAGAGAUGAAGGAAAAAAUGCUUUCUCUGAAGGCAUUGAGGAACAUCCCUGGGGUGUGACAGCCUGGGGACAGUAUGUACUCAGGAGUUGCUGCUAAUCCUCUUGAUCCCCACAGAUGGAGAGACCACAUCUCUUCGUCGUUUUAGAUAUGGGCUCCAGGGACACAUCAGCCAGGAUGUGUGCAGUGGGGCACGAAGGCAAGUUAAGCAGGCAGAAAAGACAUUCCUCUGUACAACAGCCUCACUUGACACUGAGCAGUAUCAAACGCCUUCUAAAGCAACAAUGUAAGCAGAGUCAAAUAUAUAACAUUGGUUUUCUACAAUCCUCUGACAGCUGCAAUCACAAGGUAACCCACAGUUACAUUGUAACUGGUGAUUACUGAAGUCAGAACAAAAGACUUAAAACUUGUGUCUUCUGUGUCCUUAUUCUCUGAUUUUUUUU
rnacentral:lncRNA from 1 species